UACGGAGGGUGCGAGCGUUACUCGGAUUUACUGGGUGUAAAGGGCGUGUAGGCGGUCUCUCAAGUCCGAUGCUAAAGACCGAAGCUCAACGUCGGGGGUGCGUUGGAUACUGUGAGGCUAGACGGUCGGAGAGGGUAGCGGAAUUUCCGGAGUAGCGGUGAAAUUCGCAGAUACCGGAAGGAACGCCCGUAGCGAAGGAAGCUAUCGGGACGAUUUAUGACGCUGAGGCGCGAAAGCGUGGGGAGCAAACCGG
rnacentral:rRNA from 1 species